rnacentral:rRNA from 1 species
AGUGAACGCUGGCGGUAGGCCUAACACAUGCAAGUCGAACGGCAGCACAGAGGAGCUUGCUCCUUGGGUGGCGAGUGGCGGACGGGUGAGGAAUACAUCGGAAUCUACUCUGUCGUGGGGGAUAACGUAGGGAAACUUACGCUAAUACCGCAUACGACCUACGGGUGAAAGCAGGGGAUCUUCGGACCUUGCGCGAUUGAAUGAGCCGAUGUCGGAUUAGCUAGUUGGCGGGGUAAAGGCCCACCGAGGCGACGAUCCGUAGCUGGUCUGAGAGGAUGAUCAGGCACACUGGAACUGAGACACGGUCCAAACUCCUACGGGAGGCAGCAGUGGGGAAUAUUGGACAAUGGGCGCAAGCCUGAUCCAGCCAUACCGCGUGGGUGAAGAAGGCCUUCGGGUUGUAAAGCCCUUUUGUUGGGAAAGAAAUCCAUCUGGUUAAUACCCGGGUGGGAUGACGGUACCCAAAGAAUUAGCACCGGCUAACUUCGUGCCAGCCGCCGCCGUAA